CAGGACUGCAGUUGACCGUACCGUAAUCCGACACAGGUAGGCGAGGCGAGCAGCCUAAGGUGCUCGAGUGAUUUACGGAAAAGGAACUCGGCAAAAUGACCCCGUUACUUCGGGAUAAGGGGUGCCGGCAGUAGCUGACCUAAUCAAGGGAAGGCGAGACCGGCCGCAGAGAAUCGUCCCAAGCGACUGUUUAGCAAAAACACAGGAGCGUGCUAAGGCAUUGUCCAAGCCAACGUAUACGCUCUGACUCCUGCCCGGUGCCGGAAGGUUAAGGCAAGUCGUCAGCCGCAAGGCGAAGCGAUGAACCGAAGCCCCGGUAAACGGCGGCCGUAACGAUAACGGUCCUAAGGUAGCGAAAUUCCUUGUCGGGUAAGUUCCGACCUGCACGAAUGGAGUAACGACUUGGGAGCUGUCUCUUCCGUAAGCUCGGCGAAAUAGAAGCAUCGGUGAGGAUUCCGAUUACCCGCGACAGGACAAAAAGACCCCAUGCACCUUUACUACAACCUGUCAUUGAUUGUCGGUAUGCGUUGCGUAGCAUAGGUGGGAGCCGGUGAAACCGGGGUUUCGGCCCUGGUGGAGGCACCAGUGAAAUACCACCCUUCGUUUACUAACAAUCUCACUCAGCCGGCAACACCGGCGAGGACCGUGGCAGGCGGGUAGUUUGACUGGGGCGGUCGCCUCCUAAAAAGUACCGGAGGCGCACAAUGGUUGGCUCAGUGCGGUCGGUAAUCGCACGUCGAGUGUAUACGCAGAAGCCAGCCUGACUGCGAGCGCGACAGCGCGAGCAGGGACGAAAGUCGGUGUAAGUGAUCCGGCGGGACCGUGUGGACGGCCCGUCGCUCAUCGGAUAAAAGGUACGCUGGGGAUAACAGGCUUAUCGCGCCCGAGAGUUCACAUCGACGGCGCGGUUUGGCACCUCGAUGUCGGCUUGUCACAUCCUGGGGCUGGAGAAGGUCCCAAGGGUCCGGCUGUUCGCCGGUUAAAGUGGCACAUGAGCUGGGUUCAGAACGUCGUGAGACAGUUCGGUCUGUAUCCGUCGUGGGCGUGGGAAUGUUGAGGGACGUCGACCUUAGUACGAGAGGACCGGGUCGAAGCGACCGCUCGUGUACGGGCUAUCCUGCCAAGGGUAUCGCCCGGUAGCGAUGUCGCGCGCAGAUAACCGCUGAAAGCAUCUAAGUGGGAAACUGUUCCCAAGAUGAACAUUCCUGGGUCUUAAGACCCCUGAAGGGCCGUGGGAGACUACCACGUUGAUAGGCGGCAGAUGUAAGGCGUGCAAGCGCUUCAGUCGAGCCGUACUAAUCGCCCGUGCAGUUUGAUCUA
rnacentral:rRNA from 1 species